AGUGAACGCUGGCGGCGUGCUUAACACAUGCAAGUCGAACGAGAACGGAUUAUAGCUUGCUAUAAUCGUCAGCUAAGUGGCGCACGGGUGAGUAAUGUAUAGGUAAUAUGCCUCUUACUAAGGGCUAACAAAUGGAAACGUUUGCUAAUACCUUAUACUCCUUAUUAACAUAAGUUAAUAAGGGAAAGAUUUAUUGUUAAGAGAUUAGCCUGUAUUGUAUCAGUUAGUUGGUGGGGUAAUGGCUUACCAAGACUAUGACACAUAACUGGUUUGAGAGGAUGAUCAGUCACACUGGAACUGAGACACGGUCCAGACUCCUACGGGAGGCAGCAGUGGGGAAUAUUGCACAAUGGACGAAAGUCUGAUGCAGCAACGCCGCGUGGAGGAUGACACAUUUCGGUGCGUAAACUCCUUUUAUAUGAGAAGAUAAUGACGGUAUUAUAUGAAUAAGCACCGGCUAACUCCGUGCCAGCAGCCGCAGUAA
rnacentral:rRNA from 1 species